rnacentral:tRNA from 1 species
CGGUGAAUGUCGCAGCUUGGUAGCGCAUCUAUGCUUCUAAAUAGAAGAGGACCAGAGGGUCGGGUACGGGAUGCCGCCCAGUUCGAAUCCCUCUUCACCGACCA